rnacentral:lncRNA from 1 species
GUAGGCAAGUAGUUGGACAAAAAGCAAGAAGCUGAUCGAUGUUGCUGGCUUUGGAUUCUUUGUGAACAAAUGAGACAAGGCUGCAAAUUCAGAGGAUCCUCCCAGAAGAUAAGAUGGAUCAGGUCACCACCUUCUUUCCCUUCUUCCCUGCUUCACACCCUCAGGCCCCGACUCUUGUCUGCUGAGAUCACUCUCCAAACCAAUAUUCCUUUACAAAGCCCUUGUUGCAGGCUAUGCCUUCUGAGGGGAACCCAGGCCAAGACACUAAAAUGACACACCAACAUGAAGACAUGAACACAAAUUGCAAAGGGAUUGGUUGGAUUGCAUAUCUCUGUGAAUGGGACUCAAGAGAAGUUUGGGAAAUGCUGGACCAGAUGACCCUUGCAAUCAUGGUGCACAGAAUUAAAACUGUCAAGGUCCCCAUCCAUCUCUGAGAUGGAUGAGAAUCUGAGUCUUCCACAAGAUGCCCAAGACUUGUUAAACCCGUGGAAUGUCUUUGGGUAUGUGUGACAUCAACAAGAAGCAGCAAACAAAACAAAAUAUUUUCACAAACAUUCAGAAAUCCCUAAAUCUUCCGCUUUUGUCUAAAAUAAUGAUGUACAUUAAAAGCAAAGGGCAAAUGGAACCAUUGAAAAGUACUUUUUGCAUCCAAAACAGCCAACGCUUUGGUGCCUGCUAUGUGUCAGACACUGAUUCUUCUGUCAUCCUUAUUCUACUGAUGAGGCAACUGAGGCAGCUUCAGAGAGUUCGAGUAACCUGCAGAUCACACAACUAGUAAGUAAGAGAGCUGGAACUUGACCUUGGGCUGUUGACCUCCAAAAAUGGUGUUUUUUCCAGUACUCAGUGCUGCCUCUGCCUCCAUUGUGAUGGUUG